rnacentral:rRNA from 1 species
AUGGGCGCGGGGAGACCCGCGUCUUCAUAAGCCCCUUCGUGUAGAAAGUCUAUGAAUGUUUUUACCAUCAUCGACUCGCGACUUCUAGGAGACGCGAUUCUUUGAGACAAAAGUUUAUUACAACUUUCAGCAAUGGAUCUCUUGGCUCUCGCAUCGAUGAAGAACGCAGCGAAUCGCGAUAUGUAAUGUGAAUUGCAGAUCUACAGUGAAUCAUCNAAUCUUUGAACGCACCUUGCGCUUAUCGGUGUUCCGAUGAGCAUGCCUGUUUGAGCGUCAUUAAAUUCUCAACCCCUCUCGAUUUGCUUCGAGAGGGCGCUUGGAUUGUGGAGGCUGCCGGAGACCUGUUUUUUCAGGACUCGGGCUCCUCUGAAAUGUAUUGGCUUGCGGUCGACUUUCGACUGUGCAUGACAAGGCCUUUUGGC